UACGUAGGGUGCGAGCGUUAAUCGGAAUUACUGGGCGUAAAGCGUGCGCAGGCGGUUGAUGUAAGACAGGCAUGAAUCCGGAAUCCCGGCUCAACCUGAAGAUGGCGCUUGUGACUGCAAAGCUGGAGUGCGGCAGAGGGGGAUGGAAUUCCGCGUGUAGCAGUGAAAUGCGUAGAUAUGCGGAGGAACACCGAUGGCGAAGGCAAUCCCCUGGGCCUGCACUGACGCUCAUGCACGAAAGCGUGGGGAGCAAACAGG
rnacentral:rRNA from 1 species